rnacentral:lncRNA from 1 species
UCUGACAAAGGACAUUAUGUCAGUUCAUGGAAUAGUGCUUUAUCUCAAAUCAGGAAAGAUGUGAAUCUGCUCGUAGCUAAUAUGGAACUACAACUGAAGAUGGAGUGAGCUGUUUUGAUAGUGAAGCCUCAUCAGAUGAGUAUUAGCUAUGGCACUUGAAGCUCUCGCACUUGUAUGUCAAAACAAGGAGCUCUUUCUAUUCGUAAGAAGAGAAUUGGUGAGAGGACUACCUCAUCUGGAAUUCAAUAUGGAUGAAGCUCAUGAGGUAUGUCAAUAGGGAAGUCGAAGGAGCAUUGCACAGAAGCAAAGAUAUGACUAACAUUACUGAGCCGCUUCAGAUGAUACGUAUGGAUUUCUACGGAUCAGCUAAUGUCAUGUCUGCAAACAAAGCUAGAUAUCUUUUUGCGAUGAUCAUUAACUGCUCUAGAUUCUUUCGUGUUGUUCGUAUGUGUUCGAAGGACGAGACGUCACAAAUGAAGGUUGAUCAAGAUGAACCCUGAUCAUUGAUAAAUCCAGAAAGACAUCAUUUUUGCCAGUGGCCAAUCAGAAGCAAACACU